CACACCUGACGGGUUCUAGUGCUUGUGUUUUAGGAUUUGUUUUGACACAGAACGACCCGAGUUCACACCCACCCCUCCCUCGGGGUCCUGGUUCAGGUUUCCCCAGCCCCACAGCCGGGCGGUUGCCUGGCUCACCCCUGUAGGCUUGGCCAGGUUAGAGUUCGCCCCGAGUUUGGACCACAGCGGGGAGAAGGCAGUGUUACUACAGGGGUGAAAUAAAGACAAGCAAUUCAUAACUUUGGUGCUUCAGUCAUUAUUAUUUGGAAAGAUAUAUAUCUCUCUAUCUAUUUAAGCUUAUUUAUUUUUGAGAUGGAGCAGGGGAGGGGCAAAGAGAGAGAGAGAGAAUCCCAAGCAGGCUCCGCAAUGUCAGCCCUAAGCCCAAUAGAGGGCUUGAACCCACGAACCGUGAGAUCAUGGCCUGAGCCAAAACCAAGAGUCGGACGCUCAACAGACUGAGCCACCAGAUGCCUCUGCUGGUCAUAUAUUCUGACCGGGCACCACCUAAUCAGAGAGGCUUGAGCGUUCCGCUGCUCACACUUUCCCCGUUUUCCAGGGGAAACAAAGGGGUGAUGAGCAAGGGGAGGGGAGCUGUCUGCAUUACCUGCUCUUAACUUCGUGACGCACGUCUACACUGUCACAGAACCUACUCAGAUGCAGGCCGUCUCAGAAGCGGGGAGGUCCCCACCACCUUCUCAUGCUGUGACUGGGCCCGAGGCUGUCAUGUCCUGGCAGGGGCGGACGUGGCCUCAGACUAUGGCCUCUGGAAGGCCGGUGGGGGGUGAAGGCACCGUCGACUGACCUCCCAGGUCCCCCUGGGCUUUGCCCCAGCCCCUCCCUGGUUAAGUCACUUUUCUUGUUCCGCAGGCAGAGCGGGCUCUGUUUCUCAUUGGCUGGUGGACUCGGAGAAGGCGGGACUCUUCACACAGGCUCUUCUACCUUUCCUGCCUUUCCUAAGAGAGGCCAAGUUCAGUGAUGCCCGGAACGCAGAUGUUCUUGCGGUUGGGUCUCCCUGAACAGCACAGGCCUGGUGUUUUGCUGUCUUUUAAUCGCGAGGCUUACAGUUCACAAACAGCCUCCUCUCCCCUCAUCUCCCCAAACUGGGGAUCAAUAUGUAACCAGUCCUGUGUCAUCUCUGUCCCCACGCUUUGUCUCCUCUCCCCAAGCACGGAUUGUUAAGCGACUCCAGCCGUUCGUGUCUUCUGUAAAUAUGACUGUUCUCAAGUAUACCAGAUACAUUCCUGAAAAUACCUUUCUUGGGGUGGAAAGAUUCCUGCCAGUAUACAUUUCCACGUCCCUGAGUCUCCCCUUCCCUGCUUUUCAGCCCCCCUGUCUAUCUCCUCCCUCACCCCUCACCCUUCACCCUCACCUCUCUGUCCUCAGCGUCCCCCUAACCUGACCAGCGGUCUCUCCUUCCGGGGGUGGGCAGUCCAGGCUGACUCUCCCCCCCCCCCCCGACCGUUUCCUCCAUCUGAAGCAGUGGGGAGCUGGACAACACAUCUAGAAUGUUCUGCGGUCAAGUGGGGAGCAAGUUCAACACACCUAGAAUGUUCCGCGGUCAAGUACAGAAGAGUUAGCCUACACUUGACAGAAAUCUUCAAAAUCUUAAAAAAGAAAAUCCCACCUGUUAUGAAUCACUAUAAAGCUGUAAGUCAUUAGAAUCAAUGACUCUGUUGAUUGACUCGCCUUUGAUGUAUGGACUCAGAGCUGUGUGACCGAGGAUGUGUCAUUUCACCCCCCUGCACCUCAGUUUCCUCUUCUGUAAAGGGGGGAGGUUGGACCACAACAGUGGUUUUCAAACUGUUUUUGGAAGCAGCGUUUUCUUUUCCCCCAACCAAAGCCUCGGUGGACCCCAACAGUCAGAAGCGAGACUG
rnacentral:lncRNA from 1 species